UAGGGAAUCUUCGCGCAAUGGACGGAAGUCUGACCGAGCAACGCCGCGUGAGUGAAGAAGGUUUUCGGAUCGUAAAGCUCUGUUGUAAGAGAAGAACGAGUGUGAGAGUGGAAAGUUCACACUGUGACGGUAUCUUACCAGAAAGGGACGGCUAACUACGUGCCAGCAGCCGCGGUAAUACGUAGGUCCCGAGCGUUGUCCGGAUUUAUUGGGCGUAAAGCGAGCGCAGGCGGUUAGAUAAGUCUGAAGUUAAAGGCUGUGGCUUAACCAUAGUACGCUUUGGAAACUGUUUAACUUGAGUGCAAGAGGGGAGAGUGGAAUUCCAUGUGUAGCGGUGAAAUGCGUAGAUAUAUGGAGGAACACCGGUGGCGAAAGCGGCUCUCUGGCUUGUAACUGACGCUGAGGCUCGAAAGCGUGGAGAGCAAACAGGAUUAGAUACCCUGGUAGUCCACGCCGUAAACGAUGAGUGCUAGGUGUUAGACCCUUUCCGGGGUUUAGUGCCGCAGCUAACGCAUUAAGCACUCCGCCUGGGGAGUACGACCGCAAGGUUG
rnacentral:rRNA from 1 species